rnacentral:rRNA from 1 species
ACUGGGUCUAAUACCGGAUAGGACCUUUAGGCGCAUGUCUUUAGGUGGAAAGCUUUUGCGGUGUGGGAUGGGCCCGCGGCCUAUCAGCUUGUUGGUGGGGUGAUGGCCUACCAAGGCGACGACGGGUAGCCGGCCUGAGAGGGUGUCCGGCCACACUGGGACUGAGAUACGGCCCAGACUCCUACGGGAGGCAGCAGUGGGGAAUAUUGCACAAUGGGCGCAAGCCUGAUGCAGCGACGCCGCGUGGGGGAUGACGGCCUUCGGGUUGUAAACCUCUUUCACCAUCGACGAAGGUCCGGGUUUUCUCGGAUUGACGGUAGGUGGAGAAGAAGCACCGGCCAACUACGUGCCAGCAGCCGCGGUAAUACGUAGGGUGCGAGCGUUGUCCGGAAUUACUGGGCGUAAAGAGCUCGUAGGUGGUUUGUCGCGUUGUUCGUGAAAUCUCACGGCUUAACUGUGAGCGUGCGGGCGAUACGGGCAGACUAGAGUACUGCAGGGGAGACUGGAAUUCCUGGUGUAGCGGUGGAAUGCGCAGAUAUCAGGAGGAACACCGGUGGCGAAGGCGGGUCUCUGGGCAGUAACUGACGCUGAGGAGCGAAAGCGUGGGGAGCGAACAGGAUUAGAUACCCUGGUAGUCCACGCCGUAAACGGUGGGUACUAGGUGUGGGUUUCCUUCCUUGGGAUCCGUGCCGUAGCUAACGCAUUAAGUACCCCGCCUGGGGAGUACGGCCGCAAGGCUAAAACUCAAAGGAAUUGACGGGGGCCCGCACAAGCGGCGGAGCAUGUGGAUUAAUUCGAUGCAACGCGAAGAACCUUACCUGGGUUUGACAUGCACAGGACGCGUCUAGAGAUAGGCGUUCCCUUGUGGCCUGUGUGCAGGUGGUGCAUGGCUGUCGUCAGCUCGUGUCGUGAGAUGUUGGGUUAAGUCCCGCAACGAGCGCAACCCUUGUCUCAUGUUGCCAGCGGGUAAUGCCGGGGACUCGUGAGAGACUGCCGGGGUCAACUCGGAGGAAGGUGGGGAUGACGUCAAGUCAUCAUGCCCCCUAUGUCCAGGGCUUCACACAUGCUACAAUGGCCGGUACAAAGGGCUGCGAUGCCGCAAGGUUAAGCGAAUCCUUUUAAAGCCGGUCUCAGUUCGGAUUGGGGUCUGCAACUCGACCCCAUGAAGUCGGAGUCGCUAGUAAUCGCAGAUCAGCAACGCUGCGGUGAAUACGUUCCCGGGCCUUGUACACACCGCCCGUCACGUCAUGAAAGUCGGUAACACCCGAAGCCAGUGGCCUAACC